rnacentral:rRNA from 1 species
GUGGAUGAUGAAGGCCUUCGGGUCGUAAAGUCCUUUUAUGAGGGAAGAACAGUCCGGUGAGGAAAUGCUCCGGAUUUGACGGUACCUCAGGAAUAAGCCACGGCUAACUCUGUGCCAGCAGCCGCGGUAAUACAGAGGUGGCUAGCGUUGUUCGGAAUUACUGGGCGUAAAGGGAGCGCAGGCGGCUAAACAAGUCUGGAGUGCAAGCCCGGGGCUCAACCCCGGAAUUGCUUUGGAUACUGUUUGGCUUGAGUACGUCAGAGGUGAGCGGAAUUCCAGGUGUAGCGGUGAAAUGCAUAGAUAUUGUCAAGAACCCCGAUAGCGAAGGCAGCUUACUGGGCUGUAACUGACGCUGAUGCACGAAAGUGUGGGGAUCAAACAGGAUUAGAUACCCUGGUAGUCCACACUGUAAACGUUGAUGACUCGCCGUGUGCGAUAUACAGUACGCGGCUUAGAGCAAUCGUUAAGUCAUCCACCUGGGGAGUACGCCGGCAACGGUG